AACACUUUCAUUAUUACAUUAAAUUAGCGUGUAUGUUACAUAAUUAUAUAUUAAAAGCAGCAGCAGAAUUUUCGUAGUACUGUUGAUGACAUGGUUUUUUCACUACGUUUUGAAAAUAUAUAAAAGAAUUGCUAACAAACAUCAGAACAAUAAUUUCAAGGGGCGUCGUCGAAAUUUGCAGUAAUAGUACACCGGAGUACACACGAAAGUUUUUACACAGACAAAUUUUUGAUGAAAUGAAAAGCAAAGGAGAUAUAAAUAUAUAAAAAUGUUGACUGCAGCAUUGUUGUUAAUUAAAAUAUUCUUGUCAAGUUGAAGAUGGUUUGCUUUGGUGAUCAGCUGUUUACCAUUUGUUUACUGAUCUCGCUAAUGUUGGCGGCGGAAAAAUUAAUAGCUUGUUUUGUGCUAAACGGAUGGGGAUAGUUGUUUAUUUGUAACAACAAAAGCGCUGCACAUAAAAAGAGGAUAAAAAAACAAAGGAGAUAUGUGUCCAAUUCCGUUGAGGCCACUAACUCCAGUUCCAGAAGCUGAAGUUGAGGAAGUGCCGUUAGAGGUAGAGGAAGCUAGAGAGGAAGUAGUAGUAAUCGACAAUCUUCCGAACUGGUUACCGGAGAAUCUUGGGCAGGAACAAGGUCAAGGUCAUUAUGAUACUGAGCCCGUCCAUCGUUUACGAGGUAGACGAUGAUAUAAGCCAAGAGGAAUGAAUCGAAAUCCUCAUUGACAAAGAGCCAUAGCAAAUAUUGGCAAUUAAAUCAUAUCAUAGGGAGCCGUAAAAAGAUGGGAGUUGAAACCAAAAUGAUCGUAAGAAUAUUAGUGACCAUUUGGAAGACUUUUGCACGGUAGAACCAAGCGACUUUUUGAAGAGUGAUAAAAGACGCGUUAUUUUGCAUCUUAUGGAUAGGUGAAAGAAAAGCCAUAUUGGCCGUUUCUUAUAGUAAAGAAAAUGGAAAGUGCGGAAUUUCGACCCCGUGUUCUUCGAGGUCAGCAGUGUGAACUUUUAUUUUAUAAUUUCUUAAAAGUACAAUAUACUUUCGUAAAUGGGCCUUU